GGUAUCAUAGAGGGUGAGAAUCCCGUGCAUGAUCAGACCAAAAUACCUAAUAUUCGUUUUCUAAGAGUCGAGUUGUUUGGGAAUGCAGCUCAAAAUGGGUGGUAGACUUCACCUAAGGCUAAAUAUCAGCCGAGAGACCGAUAGCGAACAAGUCCUGUGAAGGAAAGAUGAAAAGAACUUUGAAAAGAGAGUUAAAUAGUACGUGAAAUUGUUGAAAGGGAAACGAUUGAAGUCAGUCAUGCUAGUGAAAAAUCAGUUUUGACGGGUUUUGAGUUCAAGAGUAGAGGCAGGGUCAAACCGUUUCUCUUUUGGACUUGGGAUUUGUUAGAUGUACUUUCUCUUUGGCAGGUUAGCGUCGAUUU
rnacentral:rRNA from 1 species